CCUACGGGAGGCAGCAGUGGGGAAUAUUGGGCAAUGGAGGGAACUCUGACCCAGCGACGCCGCGUGCGGGAUGAAGGCCUUCGGGUUGUAAACCGCUUUCAGCAAGGAAGAAGCGAAAGUGACGGUACUUGCAGAAGAAGCACCGGCUAACUAUGUGCCAGCAGCCGCGGUAAUACAUAGGGUGCAAGCGUUGUCCGGAAUUAUUGGGCGUAAAGAGCUCGUAGGUGGUUCGUCACGUCGGAUGUGAAAAUCUGGGGCUUAACCCCAGACCUGCAUUCGAUACGGGCGAGCUAGAGUGUGGUAGGGGAGACUGGAAUUCCUGGUGUAGCGGUGGAAUGCGCAGAUAUCAGGAGGAACACCAAUGGCGAAGGCAGGUCUCUAGGCCAUUACUGACACUGAGGAGCGAAAGCGUGGGGAGCGAACAGGAUUAGAUACCCUGGUAGUCCACGCCGUAAACGGUGGGCACUAGUUGUGGGAACCUUCCACGGUUUCUGCGACGCAGCUAACGCAUUAAGUGCCCCGCCUGGGGAGUACGAUCGCAAGAUUAAAACUCAAAGGAAUUGACGG
rnacentral:rRNA from 1 species